rnacentral:lncRNA from 1 species
ACUGUCCUGUGUAAGAUGCCACUCCCAUAAAAUGGAAUGUGAGGGUUUCCCUGAGAGAGUUGCUGUGAGCGGAUGAAACAGGAAAAGUGCUCCGUGCCUGGCUGGAGAGCCAGAGAAGUGAAAAAAUGAAGCUUCCAACCAUGUCCUGCCACCCUGACCUCUGCUGAGUCAAAUCUCAGGAUCUGAAGAUUGAAAGGAUUGAACUGA